CUUCUUGACCCUAGACUAUGGAGUAAUAUCUGAAAUGCACAAGUUGAAAAGUUCCCAGAAAGACAAAGUGAGGCAAUUUAUUGCCUUCACACAAACGGGAGAAAA